rnacentral:rRNA from 1 species
GACGAACGCUGGCGGCGGGCCUAACACAUGCAAGUCGUGGGAGAAUCCAGCUCUUCGGAGUUGGAGGAGACCGGCGGACGGGUGAGUAACGCGUAGGCAACCUGCCCUCAGGAGAAGGAUAACCCGUCGAAAGAUGGGCUAAUACUUCAUGAUGCAGCGGGGUCGCAUGACCACAGUUGUUAAAGGCCUUCGGGUGCCUGAGGAUGGGCCUGCGUGACAUUAGCUAGUUGGUGAGGUAAGAGCUUACCAAGGCGAUGAUGUCUAGGGGGUCUGAGAGGAUGACCCCCCACACGGGGACUGAGACACGGCCCCGACUCCUACGGGAGGCAGCAGUGAGGAAUCUUGCGCAAUGGGGGCAACCCUGACGCAGCCACGCCGCGUGCUGGAAGAAGGUCCUAUGGAUCGUAAACAGCUUUUCUACGGGAAGAAGGGGUCCCGAUUCGUCGGGACUUGACGGUACUGUAGGAAUAAGCACCGGCUAACUCCGUGCCAGCAGCCGCGGUAAUACGGAGGGUGCAAGCGUUGUCCGGAAUCAUUGGGUGUAAAGGGUGCGUAGGCGGAGCUUUAAGUCUGCGGUGAAAUCUUGCCGCUUAACGGUAAAAGUGCCGUGGAAACUAGAGCUCUUGAGUGUAGCAGAGGCCGGUGGAAUUCGUGGUGUAGCGGUGAAAUGCAUAGAUAUCACGAAGAACACCAGUGGCGAAAGCGGCCGGCUGGGCUACGACUGACGCUGAGGCACGAGAGCGUGGGGAGCGAACAGGAUUAGAUACCCUGGUAGUCCACGCUGUAAACGAUGUGCGCUAGAUGUUGGCCCUUCGGGGUCAGUGUCGCAGUUAACGCAUUAAGCGCACCACCUGGGGAGUACGUCCGCAAGGAUGAAACUCAAAGGAAUUGACGGGGGCCCGCACAAGCGGUGGAGCAUGUGGCUUAAUUCGAUGCAACGCGAAGAACCUUACCCGGGCUAAAUCCAUGCUGCCGGCUCCCGAAACGGAGCCGUUCCGUCUAUGACGGACGGCAUGGAAGGUGCUGCAUGGCUGUCGUCAGCUCGUGCCGUGAGGUGUUGGGUUAAGUCCCGCAACGAGCGCAACCCCUGCUGCUAGUUACCAGCGCGUUAUGGCGGGGACUCUAGCAGGACUGCCUACGCAAGUAGUGAGGAAGGUGGGGACGACGUCAAGUCAUCAUGGCCCUUACGUCCGGGGCUGCACACGUGCUACAAUGGAUGGUACAACGGGAAGCCACUCGGCAACGAGGCGCUAAUCUCGAAAGCCAUCCCCAGUUCGGAUCGUAGUCUGCAACUCGACUGCGUGAAGGUGGAAUCGCUAGUAAUCGCGGAUCAUCAAUGCCGCGGUGAAUACGUUCCCGGGCCUUGUACACACCGCCCGUCAAGCGAUGGAAGUCAGGAGUACCUGACGUUCGCCGUGCUAACUCUUCGGGAGGGGCAGGCGCCUAGGGUAAGCCUGGCAACUGGCGCU